GGACCACACAAAUGGUAUGGCUGGAUAAACAGCCUUAAAUUUAAGAUGGCCAAUUAUCGCACAAAGUUUCGAAAAGCUGGAUGUGAGGAUGUAGCAAUCCUGGUUGAAAAUGGUUGAACGAUGGCCAGCACUCUUCACAGAGAGACAGGUGUUUGCUGAGUUUAAUUGAAUCGCCAGUAAGAAUCUUGAGGGAGACUUUUGAGGCUCUGGACCAGUACACGCCACGUUUCAUCAAACUCUUCAAAACAAAGAAGGGAACUGUUGGUCAGAAACUCAGGGAGCUGAUUCAGCACAUAAGCUGUAAGACGUGACAGUACUUCACUCUGUUGUCCUCAAAGGCAUUCCCAUUUUACUCUGUGAUGAAUCCAGUGAAUUCUACAAGACCUGCUCUGUAAGUACUUGCACAUAAGAAAAAGUUUGUCUGCAUGAAUAUAAAACUAUACCUGUGUUGACAUAGAAUAUGUAAUUCUAUCCGCUCGAUAUACAAUAUACAUUUUGUACAGUGACUGAUGUAUUUUGUAUAGCAAUACCUCUACAACUAAUCUGAGAGAUAUGUAAACAGCCAGUAAAUAAAAAUAAAAUUUUCCACAUAAACGUUAUACACAUUCAUAAAUUUAAAAUCUAAGGAGUUGGAGUCUAGGUUGAAAAGUUUUUGUUUGCUUUAUUGUAACAAUCCAGUGUGAAAACAUAUUUAAAGCCAUAUUCUCUGAUAACAUUACAACACUAAAAAUAAAUGUUUUAGAAUAGCAUAAAUUGCAAUGCUGAAGAAUGUGUUUCUUUGUAGGAUACAACGAGAGACGUGGCCCUAGAAUGCAUCACUGUUGGUGUGCUGACAGUUGUCAGUGAAGAUAGUCCUCAUGAGGGUCAAAGCUCAGUGGACCUCCAGCCCAUCUCCACUGCCAUCAUUCUGGAGGGAGGUAUUGUCAUGGAUCAUAUUAAAAACUUGCCUCAGGCAGUUUGUCUGUUGUUUGGACUUACAUAUGUAUUGCAUUUGGAUUACCCAAAAUGCAUGGCAAAUACACUCAACUUCAUUCAGACUGUGAUGCUUGGACUGGGAAAGAAAAAACUCCCAUCAAAACUGUUAACUCUGAAGAACAGUCUUCUGGGUUAGAACAGUAAAGAGCUGUCAGAUAGCACUUUGUAAGCUUUGCAGCCAUUAAUGUUCUCCUGUUAUCAGAGAAAGUUUGAUGCUUUCAUGCAACUGUUCACGCUAAUUUACGAUCUCAUUUUAAAAAAGAAAAAAAUUCCAUUGAAGUCUGUACCAUGUUAUGCAGGUAUGCUAAUGGUGGAAAUAGAGCUGUUUGCAAAGUGUUGUUAGUUGUUAUUAGAUGAUAAUGUCAGAAAAUAACCUAGCAAGGUUGUCCUGUUUACAUUUGUGUUUUUGGAAAACUUUUAAUAGUUUUAAUGUAGUACAAAUACAAACCCCAAGGACUGAUUUUUUUUCUUUGUGGUGGUUUAAUCUUUGGACUGUUCAAUUUGAGAAACAAAAGCAUUUGUUGUACUUCCAGCUUUGAUCAGAAAUGCACUGAUUUUUCCAUGCACUGAAGUCCUGUAGUUAUCAGGUUUUUACCUGUUUAAUAUUGGGAGACUCUUAUUAGCUCACAGAAAUGUGGUUUUAUUUUUUAUAUUUUUCCUUUAUUUUCUACAGUUAAAUCAAACAACAACUUUGUUGUUUAACUGCUGUUUGUACUUGAAUGUGCAUUGAAUAAAUGUUGUAAUGGAGCUGAA